GAUGAACGCUAGCGGCAGGCCUAAUACAUGCAAGACGAACGGUAAGUUGAGUAGCAAUACUUAGCCAAGAGUGUCGUACGGGUGCGUAACACGUAUGCAACCUACCCUAUACAGGAGGAUAGCCUAGGGAAACCUGGAUUAACCCUUCAUAGUAUUAUUGGAUGGCAUCAUUUGAUAAUUAAAACUGAGGUGGUAUAGGAUGGGCAUGCGUCUGAUUAGUUAGUUGGCGGGGUAAUGGCCCACCAAGACGAUGAUCAGUAGGGGUUCUGAGAGGAAGAUCCCCCACACUGGCACUGAGAUACGGGCCAGACUCCUACGGGAGGCAGCAGUAGGGAAUAUUGGUCAAUGGAUGCAAGUCUGAACCAGCCAUGCCGCGUGCAGGAAGAAGGCCUUCUGGGGUUGUAAACUGCUUUUGCCAGGGGAUAAAAUUUCCAUGCGUGGAAAACUGAAGGUACCUGGUGAAUAAGCCACGGGCUAACUACGUGCCAGCAGCCGCGGUAAU
rnacentral:rRNA from 1 species